GUGAUGAUGCGUCAAUAAAAUUCAUAAGGGAUGAGAUACGUUUAGCACUACUAGAAAAUUGACUAUUUCCGAUGCGAUCACCAUCAUUUGAUUCACGUAUCGGUGGUUACUAAGGCUAUGCGGUACGGGGUCGGACGCCGCCGGCAACACCAUUCCCCCCCCCCCCCUAGUCGUCAUAAUCGUCGCCCUUCAGACGUUUGAGACGGGCACUACAAGACAAAACCCCCACCUCCUUCUUCUCUUACACACACAUACAUACAACUCAUAUAUAUAUAUAUUAGGCUCAUCCCCCAUUUCCUUAGUUUCAUCCCCUUUGUCCCAUCCUCACACCCAUCCUACGUGACGCUUACUUGGCGGGUCAUCCUCCAAGGAUGAUCCUCAACCAAGUUUAACACCGGUUUUUAAUCUUGACCGUUGAUCUUGCUUGUUGAACCAUAGCCAUUCUUGCUGACAUUAUAGAGUUGUUCCCUAAAGAAGAGUCAAAGACAGUGCAAUCUAUCCAAUCUUUUAGCAUGUCUUCUUGUCCCCAUACGUCCGGGAUCCAAACCCGACCCGCCAUCUCCACCCGGUGCCUCUUCAACCUCUCUCUUCCGCUCUCUUCCGUCGUUUGUGGUGGUGGUGUUGUGGUGGUGUUGAGAUGUUGUUGAUGGUGGUUGUGGGUGGUGAUGAAAAGUUGUUGAUUGAUGAGAAUGAAGAAAAUGAAAAUGGUAGAGAAGAUAUAUACAUGUUGUAUGGUUUGUGAAAAGUGCACGUGUUUGGUUUACAAAGUUCAUACCUUUGUUAUAUUUU
rnacentral:lncRNA from 1 species